UUUAAGUUCUAGGUCGCCCACCAGUAUAAUGCGGGAAUACAUUUAAGUUCUAGGUCGCCCACCAGUAUAAUGCGGGAAUACAUUUAAGUUCUAGGUCGCCCACCAGUAUAAUGCGGGAAUACAUUCAAGUCCUAGGUCGCCCACCAGUAAAAUGCGGGAAUACUUUUUAGCUCUAGAUUUUGGAAUCAGCAACCCCACCUGAAGACAGAAGGUUACAACAGAGAUCCCCAAGCAGGAAACAAUAAAAUCCCCAGCACCGAGAAGUAGAAGGCUGCAAAAGCAAGCGCGCGAUUCAAAAGGAAGAAGGAACGCGUCUCAAAAGGAGCAGUUUGGGAACGUUAUAGCAUGCUCAACAUAACAAUUUUUAUGAAGAAAGCCAUACCACUGGAGAAACCAUUGAAAGGCUUAAAGAAGAGGGCCAUGUUCCCAGCAGAUCAAGCGAAGUGAUGAAAACUGGCAUUCAGAAAAGGCGAAGGACCAGUAUCAUCCCCCAAGUUCACAAAAUAAAGGCAUCAGAGGAAAGCAUUAGCCGAUAAGAAAGCAAGGCAACAAGAACAAGUUGAAGAUAGAUGAAACCUCAUGAUCCAUAGUCUAGCUUAGCUUCUUGUUUUUCCUUUCAGAACAAUGUAACAGGGAGAUCGAUUGAGCGGUAG
rnacentral:lncRNA from 1 species